UACGAAGGGUGCAAACGUUGCUCGGAAUUAUUGGGCGUAAAGCGCACGUAGGCGGCUUAGCAAGUCGGAAGUGAAAUCCCUCGGCUCAACCAAGGAAGUGCUUUCGAAACUGCUGAGCUUGAGUACUAAAGAGGAUCGCGGAAUUCCCGGUGUAGAGGUGAAAUUCGUAGAUAUCGGGAGGAACACCAGUGGCGAAGGCGACUCGCUGGACAGGUAUUGACGCUGAGGUGCGAAAGCGUGGGGAGCAAACAGG
rnacentral:rRNA from 1 species